GACGAACGCUGGCGGCGUGCUUAACACAUGCAAGUCGAACGGAAAGGCCCUGCUUUUGUGGGGUGCUCGAGUGGCGAACGGGUGAGUAACACGUGAGUAACCUGCCCUUGACUUUGGGAUAACUUCAGGAAAAUGGGGCUAAUACCGGAUAGGAGCUCCUGCUGCAUGGUGGGCGUUGGAAAGUUUCGGCGGUUGGGGAUGGACUCGCGGCGUAUGAGCUAGUUGGUGGGGUAGUGGCUGACCAAGGCUAUGAUGGGUAGCCGACCUGAGAGGGUGAUCGGCCACACGGGAACUGAGACACGGUCCAGACUCCUACGGGAGGCAGCAGUAGGGAAUCUUACGCAAUGGGCGAAAGCCUGACGGAGCAACGCCGCGUGAGUGAUGAAGGGUUUCGGCUCGUAAAACUCUGUUAUUAGGGAAGAACAAACGUGUAAGUAACUGUGCACGUCUUGACGGUACCUAAUCAGAAAGCCACGGCUAACUACGUG
rnacentral:rRNA from 1 species